rnacentral:lncRNA from 1 species
GAGGUAAAGAAAACCAAACUAGGGAAAAGAAGCAUGUUUUAUAGGCUCUAAAAUAAUGUUUAGAAACUGAACUGGUGGUGUUCCUUGUAAAGAGUGUAUUUGCACAACCCUAGGUCCUGGUGCCUUGAGCUCCUCCUAGUUUUGAAGAGAAAAUUCCGUCUGAGGGACCACAUGAAGUAAAAUCUCUCGACUAAGACCUCACAAGAGCCUGCCAUGGCCCUUCCACACACACACCCCCACACACCAUUCAGAACAUGUCCUUUUGCCAACCUUUGUAGUAUUAAUGGUUUUCUUGAUUCUUUACUCCAAUUUCUUUUCUCUGAACCAUUUAUUUACCAUGUGCUUGGGGAUUUCUACCCUUUUCUAAAGUCUUAGUGAAAGGACAAGAAUGCCUAUUCUCCUGAAUGCAGCCACUGGGAACGGCAAGUUAAAAGUCUGGUUUCCAACUCUGUGCCCGUCUCUGCUUCUCAUGAUUUUGCCCCGACCGGGAACUGUAACACAGCGAGACCAUUCACUCUUGUAGUGUGCUGUUGAGCUACAGGCCCUUUUAUACCAGAACUCUCCUUAGGGACAUGUUAACCAUUUGGCCCAGCUGUCUCCUAGGGAAC